rnacentral:tRNA from 1 species
AUUUAAAUAGUUUAAUAAAAAUGUUGAUUUGUGGUGUCAAUGAUAAGACUUGUCUUUUUAAAUC